UGUUACUGUCAUUAUCAAGAAGCCUUAGACAAAGCCGAUAGUCCAGUAGCGUUGCAGAGCUUCUGUUCAGCAAAAAUGCCGGCCAAGAACAUUACCUUUCCAAAAGAAAUCCAGAGCCAGCCGAGCUGCAUCAUAUAACAGAGCCUCGAGGGUCUUUAUUAGAGACAAAUAUGAAAUGAUAUGGCCGACUAAUCGGCAAUGAACAAAUCACGAUGGAAAAAAUUAUAAUGUCAUAUCUUACUUAUUUUUGUGCGUUGAAAUAAUCCCCACUAUUACUUUUUGUGUUUUCUUUAAAUUAACAGCAAAACUACUUUUAUUAUUUCCAAAAGCAAAGACAAUUAAACAAACAAUAUAAGUAGAAAAGUAUAAUGAGGAUUUUUUUAAAACGGACAUCAAAAAAAACGAGCCGACGCUAGUCUUGGCUCAAGACAUCUCCUAUCUAAAAAACACCGAAUUUAUGAAUAGCUCCACAUGAGUGCGAAGACGUUUUUUUAUUGCUUCAGGAAAAACCGCAAGUCAAUGGGAUUGCGCAAUAAUUAUCAGGAGGCGGUGGUGGCUGUUGAGAAAUGGGUGAAAAGAGCAGAAACCUUUUCUGACUUUCCUCUCUUUUUUUCAAAGAGGAGUGAUUUUGAGAAAUUUUGAAAAAUGUUGGGUGUUGGAGCAGGCCUUUGCGCUCACAAAAUUACCAAGCUGUAAAAUGAUCUUACUGGUUAUUUCAUUGAGUUGUUGAGUUUUGCGAUCGGUUUGAGAAUUAAAGUUGAUUGAUUUGGACGUUGGCAAAUAAUAAUUAUUGCGCAGUACAUUAUUGAAACUGUUUUUUUAUUAGUAGCUUUAUAUUGGUAGGGAWAUACUAUUAGAAGUGUUGCUGUAGAUGUUGGUAUAUUUCAGAUAUUUGAAGGUCCGACCAACAUCAGGAUACACCAAGGAGGUAAAAUUCGAAACCAAAGGCACAGAUAUUUAGAUAUUAGGUUUUACAAAUGUUCACAAUGAAAUGUAAAAACAUACAAGUAAAACGAAAAAGAAAGGAAAUCAGAGGAUCCAGAAUGAUGGAUCAACGUCUCCCCGUUUUURGGUUCAGAAAUAUAGAUAUGUGUAAAUAUGAGAAAAAUAAAAUAAAAAUGAAUAAAUCGGAA